UCUGUACUUCUUUUAAAAUGACCUAGUUUGUAGCCAAUCAGAGACGGUUGUUGGGUAGACUUUCUUAAGUUGCUUUAAAAAGUAUCCAACUAAAAAUUGGAGUGAUUGCAACCAAUCAGCGACUGUUGUUAGGCAGAUUUUUAUGUCUGAGGUUCUUACAGCGCGUGAAGAGCUUAAUCGACCACUCCUUCUAUUUUAGUGUUUAAAUGCGGGCAUAAGCUAACUUGGCGAUGGCAGUUCGAGUGUCUGGGAGAGCAGCAGAGGACAAUACUGACAGUGAUGACAGCAUUAAAGAAAAACGUCCAAACUUACAGGAUGUGGAGAAAAAUGUGAAAAAGUCUGAAAACAAAAUGGAACACAAAAAUAAACAGAGGACUAAACUGACAGAGACAACAGCCCAAACCAGUGUCCCAAGAACAGUUGGUGUAAAGAGGAGAGGCAAGCAGCCCACCUCAUCACCCAAGGGUGACAGCUAUAGCCAGCACCUGCGUGUGAUCACUAUAGACGACCACUAUGAGCAGAGAAAGCGUAGAUGUAGACUUGACUGCUGGUUGCGUUCAAAAAAAUGAAAAUCACCUAAUUUCGCCAAAUACAUUUUUUAAAACUUUUUUUAUCAUUUAAUCUAAUCCUUUAAAUGUAGACUUUGUAUUAUAAACAGGCGUUUUGACUUUACUAGCUGUAAAUACCUUACAAUAGAAAACCUUUUACUGUAUUUGUGGAUUAUUUGUGGCGAUUAAUGUACAGUUGAAAUACAACACCAGUUGGCCUUUGUUGGGCCCAUUUAGUGGUAUUAUAGUGAUAUCAUGAUGAAACUUUUUUUACUUCAGUUUGAGCAUUAGCUCUGAUGGAUUGUUAACCAAACAUUUUGAAUGCAAGCAGCAUAGGGUAAUCUAACAGCUUUCUCUAUAGUAAACUGCUAUAGGUAACACGCAGGUGCAAGUGCUGUAGCUGGGCACUAUAGUUGACGUCGUACCUGAACCCUGUAGCUGAAUUCUAUAGUUGAUCACUGUAGUUGAGCAAUAGCAGAGACGCUGUAGCUGACGGCUAUAGUAGACCUCUAGUUGAGGUCUGCUGAUCUAUAGCAAAGAAGCUACAGCUGACCGCUAUAGUCGACACCACUGCACCAUAGCACAGACGCUGUAGCCGGUGGUUGUAGUCGACACCACAGCACAGGUGCUGUAGCUAAUGGCUGUAGUCGACCGCUAUAGUUGAUGGCAUAGCAGGGACGCUAUAGUCGACAGCUAUUGACAGUCUCUAUAGUUAACACCAGAACACCAGAAGACUGGAAAUGACCGACUGCUGUAACCAACCACCAGAGUGGACGGCUGUCUGGGACCACUUCCUGUCUGGGAUCCUGCCGCAUGACCACUGGAGUCUCUGCCGCAGAACAACUGCUGUAAACUGCUGGUGUUUUGUGCUGAAUGUGAUUUAAGACAGACUCACACUUAGAAUGGAUAUACAAAGUGGACUGAAUAGAAAGGACUGAGUAAUGAAAUGAUGUGAUGAGAAGAAAUAUGUGCUAUGAAAUAGUAUAGUAUGUUAAUUUCUCACAGACAUAUUUUUUGGACAGGUUUAUUCAAGUGUUUGGUAGCAGCAGCACCAUAAAUAAGUCUUAACUGUUCGUAAAGUCACUGUGUAGGUGAUCAGAGAGUGCCAUUGGUGAAUGAACAAAAUUGACAUGGCUUGAAAUCUAACAAUCAUUGCUUCACUUGCUAAACUGCUGCUUAGUCUAUAUGAGGGCUUCAAAUGUUUAAACUGAACUUGGUCUGUGUCCCCAAAGCCCAAAACACAACAGAUGACACAUUUACAUACUUAUAAAAGUACUCUCCACAUUUAAACAUCUUCGGCCCAUUAAAUUUAAUUCAGUUGGCAUUUAAAUCUCACUUUUAGCUGUUCCUACCAUUUUAAAGCAACAGAGGGCAUGGCAAAAAUAAUUGCUUACUAACUGAUUAAUUAAAAAUGUCGUCAUUUGAUUAGCCGAUUACCAAAAUAAUCAUCAGUUGCAUCUCCAGUCUGUUUAGCCUGAUAUAAAAGCUGUCUUUAGCUCAGACAGAAAUAAAAUCAAACAACAGAUAAUACGUACAUUACCACACCUACUUAUAUAAAGCUAGUCUUGAAAAAAUAACGAUAUUACGUACAUGCUCUGAUAUCAUUCUCAAGAAAGUCAAAUCUCAACUGUAGCUGAAGUGAUUACUUCUCUGGAAAUUGUAGUAUUAGGGUAUUAUCUGGUCUGUUGUGAAUUAAGUGAGAAUUGUGGUCACGACACAUAUUACACAAGUGGUAAAACAUGAGAGUGAUAGUGUUAGUCAAGGAAUAAGUUACUGCAAUGUUUUUUUUGUUUUAUUACAGUGAAUCUGGUGGUGAGUUUAUGAAUUUGGGUUUAAAGAAAUUUGCUCUUUGUUUAAAUGGUUAACAUUUUUUUCUAAAUAUGAAACUGUUGUGGUUAGAUUGGUAAUUAAAUCUGAUGAAUAUGUCAUGGUCUGUGAACUUAUUUGCUUAAGGUAUUGCAGCUUAAAGCAUGGAGAGCUCCAAAGAUACAACUCACCAUUUUCCUUCUGCUGUUUUAGAAAUUGGGAUGUACGAGUGAGAUUAUAUUAUAAUGUACAACUAAAACCAUCAUUUGAAAACAGAAAUAGGAGAAACACAACUAAAAGACAAGACUGAGAGCUACCGCGUGUAGUUACAAAUUUAUUUGGGCUUAAUAAACAGCCCUUUAUUACAUUACAUUUGGCAGAUGCUUUUGUCCAAAGCGACUUACAAUAGUGAAUUACAAAAGUAAUAGAAGUUAAAGGUAAAGACAUCUUUAGACAGGGCCUAAAGGAGAUCAAAGGGAAAUAAUGGGAUAGAGGAGUGAAGGAGGGGAAGAAGAAAAUGAGGUUAGAAGUAAUUCUUUGAAGAGCUCAUUCUUCAGGAGUUUAUUAAAGAUAGUGAGAGAUUCUCCUGAUCUGGUAGUAGAAGGUAGUUAGUUAGAGGUGUUAGGAGAGUAAGUGCUCUUUGAAGAGCUCAUUCUUCAGGAGUUUAUUAAAGAUAGUGAGAGAUUCUCCUGAUCUGGUAGUAGAAGGUAGUUAGUUAGAGGUGUUAGGAGAGUAAGUGCUCUUUGGAGAGCUCUGUCUUCAGGAGUUUAUUAUAGAUAGUGAGAGAUUCUCCUGAUCUGGUAGUAGAAGGUAGUUUGUUCCACCAUUGGGGAACUCUGUAUGAGAACAGUCUGGAUUGCUUUGUGUGAAUGUUUGUUUGGUAAAGCGAGGCAACGUUCAUUGGAGGAGUGCAGCGGCCGGGAGGUGGCAUAAGCCUUCAGGAGUGUUCAGUGCAGGUAGGAAGGAGCUGUUCUGUCAUCACCUUGUAGGCGAUUGUAAUAGCUUUGAAUUUGAUGCGAGCGUCUACUGGUAGCCAAUGGCGCUCAAUGAGCAGCGGGGUGACAUGUGCCCGUUUUGGCUGGUGUCCGGGUUGGCUUUAUAUGUAUAACAGCAUUAUAAAGAACCCCACUCUCACUUGCCCGGAGACAUGCAAACAAUCACCUGCUGGAAGUCAGUCAGACACAACAUCAAGAAAGGUUUGUGGGAUCAUGGGGUCUAAUGAUUAAUUCCAGAUUGUGAGUAUUUAUGUACCUAAUGGGACAGUGAAGACAUUAACUUGGUGAACUUUAAUAUUUCUUAAUAUUUUACUUUUAAAUUGCAGAUCUUGGACAAUGGCCUCAUGUUACUUCAUUCAGGAGUAAUCUGGGACCCAUUUUACACUUUGUUGUGUAACUGAAGAUUCUGACACAUUGGACUGAUCAAUAUUUGGAGUUCAUCAACACAGGAUUUCUUCUGCAGUGAUGGAGCUUGUAUACCUGUUUCUGCCUCUGUAACAACAAAAAGAUGUGAAGUACCUCUUUCAACAGUGUUAAUACAGAACUGUUUGGCGCUGCCUCCUCAAGGUGAAGACUGCGCCAGCUGACUUCAGAACCUGGAAGCAAGUUGAAAAAAAUCACUUUGGAUCUUAUCUAUUAGAACUUUAUUUCUCAGCAGUGGUCAAACUUCUCAACAAGCCACAAGCAACAAAGAAGCUUUACAGGACUGAACUUUAUAACUGUAGUGUUGUAUGUGGACAUUUUGUGUUCCUAUUCUGUGUUCCAUUUGAACUGGGUGUAACUUGAGUGUGAUGUCAUUCCCAGCUUCAACAUCUAACUUAUGAGUUAAAAUGGAAUACAGUAUUAUUAUAUGUUCGUCUGUUUCUAGGUUUACGCAAUAGAUUGUUUGGAUAUUAUUAUUUUGUUCUGAUCUGAUGAUUUUAUGAGUUUUAGUAGUUUUUUUUCUGUGUAUAAUGUGCAUAAUGGUCAAAUUCCAUGUGUACAGUGAGUUUAUUAAGAUGAAAAGUACAACUUCAGAUUUAGGUACGUGUCCUUUACCACAGGGCUCAUAAUUCUAGUUUUACGCAGUAAUUUUUGGACUGAUAUUCUUCUGAAUAUAACAGCAACGUGGAUGUGGAAAACUGAAGUUGAUGCCUGGCUGAUCAUGCUUUCUGUUAUGCAGAGAGAUUAGUAACAAAGUAGAACUACAUUACAACUCUACUUAAGUACUAAAAUUCUGUAUUUACUGGAGUAAUAUCUUUUUCUCCCUCUUACACGUUUACUUCACUACAUAUUUUGGAUGAGUGAUACAUUUUUUAUUUGCUGCAUCGUUACUCGUUACAAUUAUAAAAAUGUUAAGAAUCAUUCCAAAGCUACUUUAUCACAAACAGAGUGUUAGAUGCUCUGCACUCUCACCAAGGUUUGGUGAAGCUCCUCAUCAUUAAGUGAGUCAAGGCAUCAAGCUGAUCUUAUAAGAAGACCAAGCUGCUCCCGCUCUGUCUUUCACUCUGAGAACUUUCCACUGCUUUCUGUAAUAACUACACUAAUACCACAGUACUGUACUUUUAAUUUAAAAUAGUUGAGUACUACAUUUUACAAUAAACUACUGGCAAUACUACACUAAAACCACAGUACUGUACUUUUAUUUCAAUACUUGAGUACUACAUUUUACAAUAAACUACUGGCAAUACUUUAGUAAAAUGAAUGUUAAAUACGUCAGUACUUCCACUUAGUGUGGAGAUUAAAGAACAUAGUUUGUGCUGCAUAGCAAGCAGUUUGAAAAGAGUGGUUAAACACUGCUUAUUAAGCAGUGGAUGGCUUGACAAGUAUCUGAGGAGGCAUGUGCUGGUGUUGGGCCAUUAUUAGUAAAGAAGAUGUGAUUUAAAAAAAUGAUUUAUAAAUGUAAUUAUUUAUUACAGUAUUUCUAUAGCAUUCAGAUACACAUAUGGGAUUGACAGGAAGGCUAAACUGCCUGGGAGUUAAAUUCAGCACAACACUGCAACCAAUUACCAUGAGAUUUAAGUUAUAGAGCAUGAUCAGUUCGUAUAUAGGACAAUUCUUUAACCUGUAAAAAACAAACAAACAAACAAAUAACUGUAUUACUGCAUGUGUAUUUCCCCUUCCACUUCUUAUAAAUACAUUUAGCUACUUUACA